rnacentral:rRNA from 1 species
CAGCAGCCACGGUAAUACCGAGGGUGCGAGCGUUAAUCGGAUUUACUGGGCGUAAAGCGUGCGUAGGCGGCUUUUUAAGUCGGAUGUGAAAUCCCUGAGCUUAACUUAGGAAUUGCAUUCGAUACUGGGAAGCUAGAGUAUGGGAGAGGAUGGUAGAAUUCCAGGUGUAGCGGUGAAAUGCGUAGAGAUCUGGAGGAAUACCGAUGGCGAAGGCAGCCAUCUGGCCUAAUACUGACGCUGAGGUACGAAAGCAUGGGGAGCAAACAGGAUUAGAUACCCGCGUAGUCCCUGUCUCUUAUAC